UACGUAGGGGGCAAGCGUUGUCCGGAAUCAUUGGGCGUAAAGAGCUCGUAGGCGGCUUAGUAAGUCGGGUGUGAAACCUCCAGGCUCAACCUGGAGACGCCACCCGAUACUGCUGUGGCUAGAGUCCGGUAGGGGAGCGUGGAAUUCCUGGUGUAGCGGUGAAAUGCGCAGAUAUCAGGAGGAACACCGGUGGCGAAGGCGGGUCUCUGGGCCGAUACUGACGCUGAGGAGCGAAAGCGUGGGGAGCGAACAGG
rnacentral:rRNA from 1 species